ACCUCAUAAUCUGGGCAUUGCAUUAUCUUAUUGUUGAAUCAUUACCAAGCCUCAUACAAUGUUUCUCCAUUAAGUUGUCAAAAAUCGAUGAUUACAUCCCUUAGUUU
rnacentral:snoRNA from 1 species